rnacentral:rRNA from 1 species
AAUUUGAAAUCUGGCCCCUCCGGGGUCCGAGUUGUAAUUUGCAGAGGGUGCUUCGGGCGAGGUCGCGGUCUAAGUCCAUUGGAACAUGGCGUCCUAUAGGGUGAGAAUCCCGUAUGCGACCGCGGACCGAGCCCAUGUGAAGCCUCUUCGACGAGUCGAGUUGUUUGGGAAUGCAGCUCAAAAUGGGUGGUAUAUUUCAUCUAAAGCUAAAUAUUGGCUGGAGACCGAUAGCGCACAAGUAGAGUGAUCGAAAGAUGAAAAGCACUUUGGAAAGAGAGUCAAACAGUACGUGAAAUUGUUGAAAGGGAAGCGCUUGCAACCAGACCUGCCCGGGGGCGAUCAGCCGCCGUUCUCGGCGGUGCACUCGUGCCCCGAUCAGGCCAGCAUCGGUUCCGGCGGUCGGACAAAGGCCUUGGGAAUGUAGCUCCCCUCGGGGAGUCUUAUAGCCCUCGGCGGAAUACGGCCAGCCGGGACCGAGGACCGCGCUUCGGCUAGGAUGCUGGCGUAAUGGUUCUAAGCGACCC